GAAGAAAGAGGGAGGAGGGAGGAAAAAAGGAAAGGAGAAAGGAAAGGAGCUGCUUGAAGGGGAGGAGAGGGGAGAACGGGUGAGUAAAAAGUGGGUGAUGGGAGUGGGACGUUGGGAUAAGCCUGGGAAAAGGGGUGUAAUAGCGGAGAGGAGGCAUUUUUAGUGUGAUGGUUGGAAAGUUUUUUCGGUGUAGGAUGAGCUCGCGGCCUAUCAGCUUGUUGGUGGGGUAAUGGCCUACCAAGGCGGCGAUGGGGCGCCGGCCUGAGAGGGUGGACGGCCACAUUGGGACUGAGAUACGGCCCAGACUCCUACGGGAGGCAGCAGUGGGGAAUAUUGCAAAAUGGGCGCAAGCCUGAUGCAGCGACGCCGCGUGUAUAAUUCCCUCCUUCAUCUUCUCAACUCCUUUCGCUAGGUACGAAGCUUUUUGUGACUGUACCUAGAUAAGAAGCACCAGCUCCCUACGUG
rnacentral:rRNA from 1 species